rnacentral:rRNA from 1 species
CCUAUGGGAACGAAGGGUGUAUGGUGGAUGCCUUGGCUUCAAGAAGCGAUGAAGGACGUGUUAUGGCUGCGAUAAGUUUCGGGGAGGUGCCAAAUAACCUUUGAUCCGGAAAUGUCCGAAUGGGGAAACCCUCCUGUCAUCGGCAGGAACCCUUGUAUGAGGGAGCGUACCUAGGGAAGUGAAACAUCUCAGUACCUAGAGGAAUAGAAAGCAAUAUACGGAAAUUUCUUUCUGAACAGAUGCUUAGCAUCACGUUCAGAAUUUAUUCUGAACAUUGGUGCGCAAGCGCCAUUAUGUUCAGGAAGAAGUUUCUUGCGAUUCCCCAAGUAGCGGCGAGCGAAACGGGAACAGCCCAAACCAUACGUAUUUAUAUGUAUGGGGUUGUAGGGCGGAAUUGGCAUUUAGUUGCGCAGAGUUACCAAAGAGAUAUAUAGGAAAACGAGCUGGGAAGCUCGACCCCAGAAGGUAAUAGUCCUGUAUUCGAAAUGUAUCUCUCUCUGUUGAUUCCGUUCCUGAGUAGCCCGAGACAUGAAUAGCUCGGGUGAAUCUACCAGAACUAACUGGUAAGGCUAAAUAUUCUUGGAGACCGAUAGUGAACAAGUACCGUGAGGGAAAGGUGAAAAGAACCCCGGAGAGGGGAGUGAAAUAGAUCUGAAACCAUACACCUACAAGGAGUCGGAGCCUCA